rnacentral:RNase_P_RNA from 1 species
ACUGCGGAGCAGUGGCGAUAGAGGAAAGUCCGGACACCUAGUAGAAGAUAGCGGCUAACGGCCGCCGAGCGCAAGCUUAGAGGUGCGAGCAGUGACGUUCUGGUUCGAAAGGACCAGAAGACCCUUCGGGGUUAAUCUUCGAAAUAGUUCAGGGCUUGCUCUGAAUGAAGUCGAAGAGUGAAACGGCUAAAUCCUUAUCGGGUGCAAAGUCGUACUCUGACGAAAGUCGGAGGGUGCUGCUAGAGCUUUCAAGUAAUUGAAAGCCCAGAUAAAUUAUCACCAAAUACAGAAUCCGGCUUAUAGCUUGCCAACAAAA